GAUGAACGCUGGCGGCGUGCCUAAUACAUGCAAGUCGAGCGAACAGAUGAGGAGCUUGCUCCUCUGACGUUAGCGGCGGACGGGUGAGUAACACGUGGAUAACCUACCUAUAAGACUGGGAUAACUUCGGGAAACCGGAGCUAAUACCGGAUAAUAUAUUGAACCGCAUGGUUCAAUAGUGAAAGACGGUUUUGCUGUCACUUAUAGAUGGAUCCGCGCCGCAUUAGCUAGUUGGUAAGGUAACGGCUUACCAAGGCAACGAUGCGUAGCCGACCUGAGAGGGUGAUCGGCCACACUGGAACGGAGACACGGUCCAGACUCCUACGGGAGGCAGCAGUAGGGAAUCUUCCGCAAUGGGCGAAAGCUUGACGGAGCAACGCCGCGUGAGUGAUGAAGGUCUUCGGAUCGUAAAACUCUGUUAUUAGGGAAGAACAAAUGUGUAAGUAACUAUGCACGUCUUGACGGUACCUAAUCAGAAAGCCACGGCUAACUACGUG
rnacentral:rRNA from 1 species